GAACGAACGCUGGCGGCAGGCUUAACACAUGCAAGUCGAACGCACCUUUCGGGGUGAGUGGCAGACGGGUGAGUAACGCGUGGGAAUCUACCCUUCUCUACGGGAUAGCUCUGGGAAACUGGAAUUAAUACCGUAUACGUCCUGAGGGAGAAAGAUUUAUCGGGGAAGGAUGAGCCCGCGUUGGAUUAGCUAGUUGGUGGGGUAAAGGCCUACCAAGGCGACGAUCCAUAGCUGGUCUAAGAGGAUGAUCAGCCACAUUGGGACUGAGACACGGCCCAAACUCCUACGGGAGGCAGCAGUGGGGAAUAUUGGACAAUGGGCGCAAGCCUGAUCCAGCCAUGCCGCGUGAGUGAUGAAGGCCCUAGGGUUGUAAAGCUCUUUCAGUGGGGACGAUAAUGACGGUACCCACAGAAGAAGCCCCGGCUAACUUCGU
rnacentral:rRNA from 1 species